rnacentral:piRNA from 1 species
UCAGAAUGUACUUACUGAUGCUUGCUAGU